CAAGAGACAAAAAGGCAGGCCCACACUGCUAGAAUGACUAUCACUGGGAAUGACCUUAGGCUCCCAAGCACUGCUGAGGGGCAUCAUCAUCAUCAUCAUCAUCAUCAUCAUCAUCAUCAUCAUCAUCAUCAUCAUCAUCAUCAUCAUCCUCAUCCUCAUCAUCA
rnacentral:miRNA from 1 species